GAUGAAGAACGUAGUGAAAUGCGAUAAGUAAUGUGAAUUGCAGAAUCUCGUGAAUCAUCGAAUCUUUGAACGCACAUUGCGCCCUAUGGAAUUCUGUAGGGCAUGCCUGUCUGAGCGUCAGCAGCAAAAAAAUCAAAAUCUUUGUAGGUAAAGAUUUGGAUUUGGUUAAGAGAUGUAAUCUGUAAAGAACCGGUUACUCUUUUGAAAUUUAAAGGCAGUAUUGAUCAAUCCAACUGUAAACGUGAUAAAACAUUUCGUUUUAUUGUUAGGAAUGAGCUUUUUGCUUGCCUAUAAACCCACUCAUCUUCAUGGGUGACCUCAGAUCAGGUAGGGAUACCCGCUGAACUUAAGCAUAUCAUAAGCGGAGGA
rnacentral:misc_RNA from 1 species